rnacentral:tRNA from 2 species
GGCCAUGUGGAGAAAUUGGUAGACUCGCCAUCUUGAGGGGGUGGUGCUGCAAAGCGUGUCAGUUCGAAUCUGAUCAUGGUCA